rnacentral:rRNA from 1 species
CCCUUAGAUGUUCUGGGCUGCACGCGCGCUACACUGAUGCAUCCAACGAGCUUGCGACCUUGCCCGAGAGGGUUGGGUAAUCUUUUCAAAAUGCAUCGUGAUGGGGAUAGAUUAUUGCAAUUAUUAAUCUUCAACGAGGAAUUCCUAGUAAGCGCGAGUCAUCAGCUCGUGCUGAUUACGUCCCUGCCCUUUGUACACACCGCCCGUCGCACCUACCGAUUGAAUGGUCCGGUGAACUGUCAGGAUCGAAGGAGAAGUUUCACGACGACUCUAUCGAGAAUUUCCGUAAACCUUNCNAUUUAGNGGAAGGUGAANUCGUANCA